rnacentral:rRNA from 1 species
GACGAACGCUGGCGGCGUGCUUAACACAUGCAAGUCGAACGGAAAGGCCCUGCUUUUGUGGGGUGCUCGAGUGGCGAACGGGUGAGUAACACGUGAGUAACCUGCCCUUGACUUUGGGAUAACUUCAGGAAACUGGGGCUAAUACCGGAUAGGAGCUCCUGCUGCAUGGUGGGGGUUGGAAAGUUUCGGCGGUUGGGGAUGGACUCGCGGCUUAUCAGCUUGUUGGUGGGGUAGUGGCUUACCAAGGCUUUGACGGGUAGCCGGCCUGAGAGGGUGACCGGCCACAUUGGGACUGAGAUACGGCCCAGACUCCUACGGGAGGCAGCAGUGGGGAAUAUUGCACAAUGGGCGGAAGCCUGAUGCAGCAACGCCGCGUGCGGGAUGACGGCCUUCGGGUUGUAAACCGCUUUCGCCUGUGACGAAGCGUGAGUGACGGUAAUGGGUAAAGAAGCACCGGCUAACUACGUGCCAGCAGCCGCGGUGAUACGUAGGGUGCGAGCGUUGUCCGGAUUUAUUGGGCGUAAAGGGCUCGUAGGUGGUUGAUCGCGUCGGAAGUGUAAUCUUGGGGCUUAACCCUGAGCGUGCUUUCGAUACGGGUUGACUUGAGGAAGGUAGGGGAGAAUGGAAUUCCUGGUGGAGCGGUGGAAUGCGCAGAUAUCAGGAGGAACACCAGUGGCGAAGGCGGUUCUCUGGGCCUUUCCUGACGCUGAGGAGCGAAAGCGUGGGGAGCGAACAGGCUUAGAUACCCUGGUAGUCCACGCUGUAAACGGUGGGUACUAGGUGUGGGGUCCAUUCCACGGGUUCCGUGCCGUAGCUAACGCUUUAAGUACCCCGCCUGGGGAGUACGGCCGCAAGGCUAAAACUCAAAGGAAUUGACGGGGCCCCGCACAAGCGGCGGAGCAUGCGGAUUAAUUCGAUGCAACGCGUAGAACCUUACCUGGGUUUGACAUGGAUCGGGAGUGCUCAGAGAUGGGUGUGCCUCUUUUGGGGUCGGUUCACAGGUGGUGCAUGGCUGUCGUCAGCUCGUGUCGUGAGAUGUUGGGUUAAGUCCCGCAACGAGCGCAACCCUUGUUCACUGUUGCCAGCACGUUAUGGUGGGGACUCAGUGGAGACCGCCGGGGUCAACUCGGAGGAAGGUGGGGAUGACGUCAAGUCAUCAUGCCCCUUAUGUCCAGGGCUUCACGCAUGCUACAAUGGCUGGUACAGAGAGUGGCGAGCCUGUGAGGGUGAGCGAAUCUCGGAAAGCCGGUCUCAGUUCGGAUUGGGGUCUGCAACUCGACCUCAUGAAGUCGGAGUCGCUAGUAAUCGCAGAUCAGCAACGCUGCGGUGAAUAACGUUCCCGGGGCU